rnacentral:rRNA from 1 species
GAUGAACGCUAGCGGGAGGCUUAACACAUGCAAGUCGAGCGGGAUUAGCAGCAAUGCUAUGAGAGCGGCGCACGGGUGCGUAACGCGUAUGCAACCUGCCUUAUACAGGGGGAUAGCCCAUGGAAACGUGGAUUAAUAUCCCAUAGGAUUAUGAUAUCGCAUGGUAUGAUAAUUAAAGCUGAGGUGGUAUAAGAUGGGCAUGCGUCUGAUUAGGUAGUUGGUGAGGUAAAGGCUCACCAAGCCGACGAUCAGUAGGGGUUCUGAGAGGAUUACCCCCCACACUGGUACUGAGACACGGACCAGACUCCUACGGGUGGCAG